UGGGGAAUAUUGCACAAUGGGCGCAAGCCUGAUCCAGCAAUGCCGCGUGAGUGAUGAAGGCCUUAGGGUUGUAAAGCUCUUUUACCCGGGAUGAUAAUGACAGUACCGGGAGAAUAAGCUCCGGCUAACUCCGUGCCAGCAGCCGCGGUAAUACUUC
rnacentral:rRNA from 1 species